GACGAACGCUGGCGGCGUGCUUAACACAUGCAAGUCGAACGGAGCGAUUUAUUUCGGUAAAUCGCUUAGUGGCAAACGGGUGAGUAACGCGUAGGCAACCUGCCCUCAGGAUGGGGACAACGGCUCGAAAGAGCCGCUAAUACCGAAUGACGUAACUCUUCCACAUGGAAGAGAUACUAAAGAUGGGUCAAACCAUCGCCUAAGGAUGGGCCUGCGUCUGAUUAGCCAGUUGGUGAGGUAACGGCUCACCAAAGCGACGAUCAGUAGCCGGUCUGAGAGGAUGAGCGGCCACAAUGGGACUGAGACACGGCCCAUACUCCUACGGGAGGCAGCAGUGGGGAAUCUUCCGCAAUGGGCGAAAGCCUGACGGAGCAACGCCGCGUGAGUGAAGAAGGUCUUCGGAUCGUAAAGCUCUGUUGUCGGGGACGAAAGAGUAGACGAGGUAAUGCGUU
rnacentral:rRNA from 1 species